rnacentral:ncRNA from 1 species
CCAAAGGCUGUGAAAAGGAGCAGUAGCAGGCGGAUUCCCGUCACAGAGAGCCGGCGGUCGGUGCAAGCCGGACGGUUACGCUUGCGAACUCGCCUUGGAGCCGCAAAUGCGAAGGGAAGUAGCAUUUGCCGCAUCCCUGCGUUACGGGCAAUGAAGGGAACGCCGUCCCUGAAUAUUCAGGAGGCGUUAAUUUGGGUGGUACCGCGGGAGAUUCGCCUCCCGUCCCAAGG